GCACAUCGCUGCCCGUGCGGAUGCCGCCGUCCAGGUAGAUCUCGAUGCGGCCCUGCACCGUGUCCACGAUCUCAGAUAGGGCGUCUAUCUGUCGAUGACAACAGAGACACUUGAUGGCGCAAUUUAUGAUGUCAAACCAGGCCGGGCCGCCAUCCAGCUGUCUCCCGCCGUGGUUGGACACAAUGAUGCCCUGGACGCCGUGUUCCACCGCCAGCUCGGCAUCCUCCUUGGUCAGGAUGCCCUUGAUGAUGAUUGGCAGCCGUGUGAUGGACUGCAGCCAGUAGAUGUCCUUCCAGCUAAUAGACGGGUCCAAAGUGUUGGCCGGGAUCCCGUACUCCUCUGGGCCUGCCGUCUCCUGAUGGGUGUGGGUUCCGUUUUUAGUCCAACGUUUGUGAAAUGGACUUUUUUGGGUGCUGUUGUUUGUUGUGGCGUGAUGUGCAUGCGCAUUUAUCCUUAUUAGACGCAGUAAUAGGCCUUAGCCUAGACUGGCUAAUUGGUGCUAGCUUCAAUGUUAGCAUUUCUUGUGUUCCUUGCUAGCCUGUGCCAAAAUAAUUGCCAAAUAUUUUGUUGUUUGUUUGACUUCAAUUACCAAUGUGAGAUUUUCUUUGUGUUGCUGAGAAAACAUGGCCCAAACGUACAUUUA